rnacentral:rRNA from 1 species
CUAACUCUGUGCCAGCAGCCGCGGUAAUACAGAGGGUGCAAGCGUUAAUCGGAAUUACUGGGCGUAAAGCGCACGUAGGCGGUUUUUUAAGUCAGAUGUGAAAGCCCCGGGCUCAACCUGGGAAUUGCAUUUGAAACUGGGGAACUAGAGUGUGUGAGAGGGGGGUAGAAUUCCAAGUGUAGCGGUGAAAUGCGUAGAGAUUUGGAGGAAUACCAGUGGCGAAGGCGGCCCCCUGGCACAACACUGACGCUCAGGUGCGAAAGCGUGGGGAGCAAACAGGAUUAGAUACCCUGGUAGUCCACGCCGUAAACGAUGUCA